UCAUAGUUUCCCUACACAACCUCAAACCUCAAACUGCCAGCAACAUGAACUCCACCUUCGAUCGACAACUACUUCAUCUCCUCAAACCUCAAACUACUACAUCAUCAUCUCUCUAAUCUCUUCUUUUCACUUCUCUACCCCAGCAGCCCAGUCUCAAAAUCAUCCUAAAUUACGAGCACCAAACUCCUUCAUCUUGGGUUUUCAAUCGAUCAGGUUUUGUUGAGCUCACUUCAAUCCAAAGUUGCUUUAGUAUUACACAAAAGGUGUCGAGGUUUUGUUGAUCUCCAGACUUCAACCCAGAAAUUGCUCUAGUAUCAUUAAAAAGGUUGUGUUCAUCGUCACACUUCAACCAGAAUUGCUUAAGUAGUACUGAAAAAGUGUCCAGGAUACAGAUGGAUAGAAAUUGGAUUCGUAAUAGACAUAUUAGACACCGUCAGGAAUACAUAGAUGGUAUUGAAUCAUUCAUUGAAGUUGCUACACAACACGUGAAUGAACAAAACAAGACAGUAUGUCCGUGUGUUAAGUGUCAAAAUAAAAAAGACCAAAUCAUACCUGUUAUCCGGAUGCAUUUAGCCAAAGAUGGUAUGUUAGAGACAUAUGAGAUAUGGCAUAAACAUGGUGAGAAAUUAGAUGCUCCACCUCCUCCAAUUGUUCAAGAUGAUCUUGAACCUAAUGUUGUCAUUCAGAAUAUUUUGAAUGAUGCCUUCCCAAUUGUUCAAGGGGCUAAAGAUGUUGACAUGAAUGAGGAUGUAGAAUUAGCAGAUGAUGCAUUGGGUGAAAUGGCAGAUGCUAUGGGGAAUCAGGGAGCCAAUGUACAUAGGCUACAAGCUGAUAAGUAUGACGAAUUGCUUGCUGAAGCCCAACGCGAAUUUUUUCCUGGUUGUGAUAGUAGUGUUUUGACAGCUAUGGUCAAACUCAUGCACUGCAAGGUGCUUAAUCAUUGGACAAAUAAGUCCUUUGAUACAAUGUUGGAGACUUUGAAUCAGCUUUGUCCUAAACCUAAUAACAUUCCUAUGUCAUUCUAUGAAGCGAAUAAGAUGUUAAAAAAAUUGGGUCUGGGUUAUGAAAAGAUCCAUGUGUGUAAGAAUGACUGUGCUCUGUUUUACAAGGAGCAUGAAAAGAAAAGAAGCUGUCCAGUGUGUGGGGAGAACAGAUAUAAACCUAGUCCUAGUUCUGAUGAUGGUAAGAAUAAAAAGAAGGUUCCACAUAAAGUCUUGCGUUAUUUUCCAUUGAAGCCGAGAUUAGAAAGGUUGUUUAUGUCUAGACAUACUGCUGCUGAAAUGAGGUGGCAUAAAGAGAAACGUGUUGAUCAGAAUGAUGUUAUGAGGCAUCCAGCUGACUCUAUUGCCUGGAAGGAAUUUGACAAAAUGUAUCCUGAUUUUGCAAAAGAGCCCCGAAAUGUUAGACUAGGCCUUGCAACCGAUGGAUUUAAUCCGUUUGGAAACAUGAGUCUUUCUUACAGUAUGUGGCCUGUGAUGGUGUUUCCUUAUAACUUGCCUCCUUGGAUGUGCAUGAAGAAACCAUAUACAUUUUUGACUUUAUUAAUUCCUGGGCCAACUGCACCAGGUAAAGACCUUGAUGUGUUUUUGCGGCCGUUGAUUGAUGAGCUUAAAGAGUUGUGGGAAACUGGUGUUCGAACGUAUGAUAAGUCGACUGAUUCUACAUUUGAUUUGAAGGCUGCUGUACUAUGGACCGUUAAUGAUUUCCCGGCUUAUGGAAAUUUAUCUGGGUAGAGUACUAAGGGCUAUUUGGCAUGUCCUAACUGCAAUGCGGAUGCUUGCUCCUACAGAUUAAGGAGUAAGAUUGGUUUUUUUGCCCAUCGCCGCUGGUUGAGAAGGAAUCACCCAUGGCGAAAGCAAAAAGAACUCUUUAAUAAUGAAGAAGAGAAGAGGAGCCCUCCAAAACAUUUAUCUGGUGAAGAUAUUCUACGCCAACUUAAUAAUCUCAGACCUUGUACGCCUGGAAAACACAAAGAUAAUCCAGAUAACAAGAGGAAACGGUUAGAGAGUGAAUUAAAUUGGACGAAGAAGAGUAUCUUUUUUGAGUUGGAGUAUUGGUCCAAGUUGUUGAUUCGACAUAAUCUAGACGUAAUGCACAUUGAAAAGAAUAUCUGUGAUAAUAUUGUGGGGACAUUGUUGUGCAUAGACAAAAAAUCCAAAGACACAGUCAAGGCUCGGUUAGAUUUGCAAGACAUGGGUAUACGUGAGGAAUUGCAUUUAGAAGGACAAGGAACAAAGUUUAAAAAGCACCUUGCACAUUAUUCUCUAUCACCGCCCCAGUGUAGAGGUUUCUGUCAUUUUAUAAAGAAUCAGAAACUUCCAGAUGGGUUAGCAUCCAAUAUUUCAAGAUGUGUUAAAGAUGGGAAGAUUUUUGGUUUGAAAACCCAUGAUUGUCACGUGUUAUUACAACGACUUCUGCCAGUUGGGAUUCGACCGUACUUGUCUAAGGAUGUGUGUGAUGCCAUUGUUGGAUUAUCAAGUUUUUUUCAACAAAUCUGUGCAAAUACAUUAAAUGUGGUAGACUUGGAUAGACUACAAAAAGAGAUUGUGAUUAUUCUAUGCAAGCUUGAGCAAAUAUUUCCACCGGCAUUCUUCGAUGUUAUGGUGCAUUUGGCUGUGCAUUUACCACUUGAGGCGAAACUUGCUGGACCAGUAAUGUAUCGUUGGAUGUACCCAAUAGAAAGGAGGUUAGGAGACUUAAAACGUUAUGUACGUAAUCGAGCCCGUCCCGAAGGUUCAAUUGCAGAGGGAUACAUUGUGGAGGAAUCAUUGACGUUUUGUGCUUUAUAUCUUGACGAUGUUGAGACUGUGUUUUCUCGACCUGAAAGGAAUUAUGAUGGAGAUGAAUCGAGUGUGCAACUCUCUGUUUUUGCACAAAACGUACGUGCUUGUGGUGGAUACAAAAUGAUGAGGUGGUCUGAAACUGAAUUGGAGCCAGCUAGAUGGUAUAUUUUGGACAACUGUGUGGAGGUCGAACCCUAUAAAAUCAAGCAUCGUGAGAUAUUAGAAAGAGUAAGUCCCCUUAAUUUAGAUGAGAGACAAAGAGAAUCAUUCCCACAGUGGUUCAAGGAUCAUAUUCAAGUAUUAUACAAUGAGGGAUCAGGUGAGGUGACUAAAGAGUUAUAUGCACUAUCACUUGGUCCGGAUGAGAGAGCUGCUACCUAUACUAUAUGUACAAUGAACGGGAUUAAAUGGCAUGUUAAACAGAUUGAGAACACUAAAUCUGUCCAAAAUAGUGGAAUUAUGGUUCCGGGGUCACAUGGUCAUCGCGAAAGUGAUUUUUAUGGUCAAUUGGUCAGCAUUGUUCAAGUACGCUAUAAACAUGGCUAUUCUGUUUUUCUUUUUAAAGGUGAGUGGUUUGAUACAGACUCUAAGAAGAGAAACAGGAUUGUUCGAGAUUAUCAUCUCAAGUCAGUGAACACAAACACUUUAUGGUACAAAAAGGAUCCUUAUGUUUUAGCUACGCAAGCACAACAAGUUUUUUAUUUUGAUGAUCCGAAGUUAGGUUCUGGAUGGAAAGUUAUUGAGAAAAUUAGACAUAGACAUGUUUGGGAUGUUCCAGAAAAUGAAGAGACUCAUGCCAUGGAAACUAACUACGUUGAUGAGGAAGACCAAGAAGAAGUUGGAGAUUUUGUUAGACUUAUUGAAGAUGAGAAUGUGAAUCCAAGUAGAACAUUACGUAGAGACAAUGUAGAACCUGAAAUCCAUGUGCUUAGUCACAAGGAUUUAGAACGUAGUAGUUCUCUUGAUCUCAAUUUCAUUGAUGAUGAUCCCCAAGAUGAAGAAAUAUUGUCCGCGGAUGAAGAAUACACCGAGAAUAAUGAUGAUGAUGAUGAAGAUAGUGAUCUAGAUUAGUAUGCUAAAUAUUUAAAACGUAUUUUAUGUACACCCGUGAUUCUUGCAUUUAAGGAUGUUUAAAGCAACUCUGAACAAGACCAAAGAAAACAAUAAGCGUGCGUACCAGCCACCAACGCGUCCUCUAUCAUGCCCUCAACCUCAACCAACCAUACAACAGUCAUUGCUCACUCGAACUAGGGAGAGCCGGUC